rnacentral:ribozyme from 1 species
GGUUGCGACGGGUGCACUUGCAGUCGAAAUGCGCCAGGCUGCAUAAUAUCCUAGAAAAAUCAAACACGUCCAUCGUUCGGCAACGACAAGCGAACGAGCGAUCGAACCCGAAACUAUGAGCAUAAAAGGAAAAGACAAGCUCAAGUGCUGGAG